UACGAAGGGGGCUAGCGUUGCUCGGAAUCACUGGGCGUAAAGCGCACGUAGGCGGCUUUGUAAGUUAGAGGUGAAAGCCCGGGGCUCAACUCCGGAAUUGCCUUUAAGACUGCAUCGCUAGAACGUCGGAGAGGUAAGUGGAAUUCCGAGUGUAGAGGUGAAAUUCGUAGAUAUUCGGAAGAACACCAGUGGCGAAGGCGACUUACUGGACGACUGUUGACGCUGAGGUGCGAAAGCGUGGGGAGCAAACAGG
rnacentral:rRNA from 1 species